AGAGUUUGAUCCUGGCUCAGGAUGAACGCUAGCGGCAGGCUUAAUACAUGCAAGUCGAACGGGAUUUGAAGUAGCAAUACUUUGAUGAGAGUGGCGCACGGGUGCGUAACGCGUAUGCAACCUACCUUUAACAGGGAGAUAGCCCCGAGAAAUCGGGAUUAAUAUUCCAUAACAUUGCGAAUUGGCAUCAAUUUGCAAUUAAAGUUCCGGCGGUUAAAGAUGGGCAUGCGUGACAUUAGCUAGUUGGUGAGGUAACGGCUCACCAAGGCAACGAUGUCUAGGGGUCCUGAGAGGGUUAUCCCCCACACUGGUACUGAGACACGGACCAGACUCCUACGGGAGGCAGCAGUAAGGAAUAUUGGUCAAUGGGCGCAAGCCUGAACCAGCCAUGCCGCGUGCAGGAAGACGGCCCUAUGGGUUGUAAACUGCUUUUGUCAGGGAAUAAACCUGUUUACGAGUAGACAGCUGAAGGUACCUGAAGAAUAAGCAUCGGCUAACUCCGUGCCAGCAGCCGCGGUAAUACGGAGGAUGCAAGCGUUAUCCGGAUUCAUUGGGUUUAAAGGGUGCGCAGGCGGAUUAUUAAGUCAGGGGUGAAAUCCCACGGCUCAACCGUGGAACUGCCUUUGAUACUGAUAGUCUAGAGUAUAGUUGAAGUUGGCGGAAUGUGUCAUGUAGCGGUGAAAUGCUUAGAUAUGACACAGAACACCGAUCGCGAAGGCAGCUAGCUAAGCUAUAACUGACGCUCAUGCACGAAAGCGUGGGGAUCAAACAGGAUUAGAUACCCUGGUAGUCCACGCUGUAAACGAUGAUUACUCGAUGUUGGCGAUACACAGUCAGCGUCUGAGCGAAAGCAAUAAGUAAUCCACCUGGGGAGUACGAUCGCAAGAUUGAAACUCAAAGGAAUUGACGGGGGCCCGCACAAGCGGAGGAGCAUGUGGUUUAAUUCGAUGAUACGCGAGGAACCUUACCUGGGCUCGAACGUAAGAUGACUGUAGGUGAAAGCUUACAUCUCUUCGGAGCAUUUUACGAGGUGCUGCAUGGUUGUCGUCAGCUCGUGCCGUGAGGUGUCGGGUUAAGUCCCAUAACGAGCGCAACCCCUACCUUUAGUUGCCAGCAUGUAAUGAUGGGGACUCUAAAGGAACUGCCUACGCAAGUAGUGAGGAAG
rnacentral:rRNA from 1 species